GGUUUCCCUGUGUAGUCCAGGCUGGCCUUGAAUUCACUAUGUAGUCCAGGCUGGCCUCAAAUUCAUAGUAAUCCUUCUGCCUCAGCCUCCCAAGUGCUGGGAUUAUAGGCGUGCACCACAAAUGCC
rnacentral:miRNA from 1 species